GAAAAAGAAAUUUAUUAUAACAUUUUUUGGAGACUAGAAAAGGAAAAUUAUUACAAAAAAUAAUUUAUUGUUAUUUUUAGGAUUUUAGAAAAGGAAAGUAACUAUUACAUAGUCUUUUAGAAUUAUAUUUUAUGGUUCUUUAUAGUCUUUUAAAAAUAUUUGAUAGUAAAUCUAAUUUUCGAAAAUUCUAGAAACAAAGAAUAAUUGUAAAAAGAUUUUUGAAAGUAUUUGCUUUCUUUUAAAAAUAUUUUUAUAUUUUUAAUCUUUAAAGAUACUAAAGAAAGAUAUUAUAAGAGAAAACUUAUUAUAUAAAGUUUGGUUCUUCAAAGUUGCUAAUUAACAUGAUCGCGACAUGUGUCAAUUAAUUUAUUAAGAUUAUGACAUGUGUCAAAAAUAUGUUACAAUUCUAUUUUAUUAGGAGUUAAAAAGAUUUAGAAAAAGAAAUUUAUUAUAACCUUUUUGGGAGACUAGAAAAGGAAAAUUAUUACAAAAAAUAGUUUAUUGUUAUUUUUAGGAGUUUAGAAAAGGAAAAUAACUAUUACAUAGUCUUUUACAAUUAUAUUUUAUGGUUCUUUUAUAGUCUUUUAAAAAUAUUUGAUAGUAAAUCUAAUUUUCAAAAAUUCUAGAAACAAAGAAUAAUUGUAAAAAGCUUUUUGAAUGUUUUUAUAUUCGUUUUUAUUAUCUUAUUGUAUAUAUAUUUAAACACAUGUCACAAUAUUUUUUUAUUAAACCAUUAUAAUAAAAAAAUGUUUAACCUUUUUGGGAGACUAGAAAAGGAAAAUUAUUACAAAAAAUAGUUUAUUGUUAUUCUUAGGAGUUUAGAAAAGGAAAAUAACUAUUACAUAGUCUUUUACAAUUAUAUUUUAUGGUUCUUUUAUAGUCUUUUAAAAAUAUUUGAUAGUAAAUAUAAUUUUCAAAAAUUCUAGAAACAAAGAAUAAUUGUAAAAAGCUUUUUGAAUGUAUAUGCUUUCUUUUAAAAAUAUUUUUAUAUUUUUCAUCUUUAAAGAUACGAAAGAAAGAUAUUAUAAGAGAAAAUAUUAAUUUUUUUUAAAACAAAUCUUAAAAAAAUACGAAUUAUAAAAUCCUACAUGUACAAGAAAUUAUUUAAUAAAAAUCAAAUAGAAAAACGAACAAUAAAAUAAAUGAUAUUCUUUUUUUAAAACCUAAGAAAAUAAAAAUGUUAAAGGACUCUUAUUAUUUUUCAUAUAAAUAGCUAAGUUUCCUUUUUAACAGAUAAAUGUAUGCUACAAAAAUAUAAACCAAAAUAAAUAUUAUUUUCACAUCUGUAUUUAGGUUUAAGCUUCUUCAUAUUAUUUUUACAAAAAAUAGUAUUUACAAGAAAAAUAAUAUCUGAGUAUUUUCUUUUAAUUUCUGUAAACAACUCAUCAUCCUUAUUACAUCUUAUGAUUCUAACACAAUUUUUUUUAAUUAUGAUCUUUUUGUCGUACAUAAGUAGUAUGUGUGAAUAUGAGGAAUAUAUAUAUGUUUGUAUGUAUAAGACACAAUAUAUAAUUGACUAAACAUAAUUUUUUAUUGAAAAUAUAUUAGUUGUAUAAAAAUCUUAAACAAAACGACUUAUAGUUGGAAUUUUUCUUUAAAAAAAAGAAAUUAAAAGUAACUUAUUUCUCUAAAAUAAUUAAAUUUUCUAUUUAAUAGAUAAUGUUUUGUAAAAAAAUUAUAAAUCAAAAAUAACUUAAAAUAUUUUACCAUAUUUUACCCGAUAUGAUUGUGACAUUUGUAAAACAAAUUGUGUAUGUAUUAAUAAAAAUUUAUCAUUAUGUAAAAAUAACUUUUUUCCCUAAAAUCCUAAAUAAAUUUUUUUUGAAAAAUAACUUUUUCCUCUUUUAAUCUUAACCAAAUAAGAUUGUUUCUUUUUAAAUUCUGACCAAAUAGAAUUGUAAAAGUAAUUUUUACUUUUAAAAUUUAAUGAUAAAUAUGAUACUGAAAAUAUUUAAUUAAAAAUAUUAGUAAUAUUGAGAAAAAGAAUUUUGAAAAUAGCAACUUUUUAAAAUAGUUAAUAUUUGCUGGAAAUAAUUAUUUGAUCGUAUUUUAAUUUUCUAACUCCUAGAAAAAAAUAAUUAUAAAAUAUUAUGUAAUGUUAAUUUUCUUUUCUAACACCCUAAAACUGUAAAAAAAAUAUUUGUUCGUUCUUUAACUUCGAAAAGAAAAUCCUAAACAAAAGAGAUUUGUAUCAUAUUUUUUAAUUCCUAACCAAAAAACAAUUGUAAGAAGUUAUUUGAUAGUAUAUUUUAAGAGAAAAUUUGAUGAAGAACAUGAUACUAAAAAUUAUUUAAUCAAAAAUGAAGUGUAAAAAUAGUAUUGAUAUGAGCUGUAAAAAUCAUACUCUUAAAAUUAUUUAAUAGUAACUAGAAAUAAUUAUUUGAUAGCAAUAAGAUUUUUCUUAAAUUCUAAACAGAAGAUAAUUGUAAAAGUUUAUUUGAUAAUACUUUACCUUUUCUAAAAUCGUAAACAAAAAUAUAAAAAAUUUUGAUAGUUUUUCUUUUAUUAAUUGUAAAUAAAAACAAGAUUUGUAAAAUAUAAAUUUUUCCUUUUUAAAAAAAAAAUCCAAACAAAAGUAAACAUACAUAUUUAAUAGCAUUUAAGAAAAAAAUUUGAUGACAAGCAUGAUGUUAAAGCUAUUAAAUUAACAAAAACCAAAACUUAGAAUGUUGUCGUGAUUGGUAUUUAAUUAUUUAUGUGUUUGGUUAUACGACAAUCAAACACAUGUUUGAUAUAUAUAUUCUCAUGUUUGCUCAUAAAAAUUGAUUAUUAUUACUGUCACCAUACAUAUGUUUAGUCAAAAACAAAUCAAGCUUCAUCGUUAUCUUAUUACAUUUUUUAUUUUUACAAUGUAGUAGUUUAUAAUUUAUUUUAAUUAAAAUAUUAUUAUGAAAAUAUAUCUUUAAUAAAUAAUGAAUCCAGAAAAUUAUUUAACAUCAGAUAAGUUUAAUAAAACAUUAAAUUAGUACAUAAGAAAGUGUAUAAUGUUGGUAUUUCUUCUUGGCCUUAUUUAACUUCCAAAUUUCUUUUUAUUUCAUUAUAAUUAUUAUUUCGGGUUGGAUCCGGUUUAAAUUUUUACGUUUGAAUGUUUUUUCUAGCUCUAACAAAUAUUAACUGAAACUUAUGUGUAAAAAAUAAUUCUUAAUUAUAAAAUAAAUUUCACAUAAUAUAUGCAAAAUAAUUUUAAAACAAUAAUAAAAUGAUUUUUUAAUAUUUUUUAUUAAAUUAAAAUAUCAAAUAAAGCCCGUUGCAACGUACGGGUCCAAAUCUAGUUGUAAAUAAAACCAAAAACAAAGUGGAAACCAGAAGGCCCCAAAAGAAAACCCAAACCGUUGGGAGAGAAUAGAAACAUAGAGCCUUAUCCUGCUAAUAUUAAUCAGCAACAUAGUAGCUUUAAGUUGCCUCCUGCAACAGAACAGCAGACAGCCAAUGAGGCCCACCAAAAGCAACAUAUGAUUGCAGACGUUGGUCUUUUGUAACACUGUCCGCUAUUGCAGAGGCUGCAACGUUACAGUUUUCAGAAACUAGAAACAAACCGCUCUUAGCCAGUGAGUAAACGUUAUUGACUACUUCAUGACAUAGGUGAUAAGAAGAGGGAUGCUCCAGCGGGCGCAUCUGCAGCUUUAAUGGAAGAGAAUUCAAACAUUAUAUUCUUUAGUUUAAGGUCAAUUACCGGAGCAGAAGCCCAAGAUAGUGCCAGAAGGUCUGCCUGUGUACUCUAGACCACUCCACUAAAAGCUCUUCUGCUAUGAGAUAGCACUUUACCUACAGAAUCUCUAAUGAUCCAACCUGCCCCACUGACCGGUGAUGUUGCAGACCACGUAGCACCAAUGUUACACUUCAGGGAGAGGGCUGGAGGUUUUUACCAAGCAGGCACUGCCACUGGAGAAGUGGUAGAAACGAUGGGACUAUCAGGGAGACAACCAUGCAGGUUCAGCCAAACGACAGCUUCCUCCUUAGCAUUAGUCAAAAUAUCACUUGCUAUGGGACGUACUUGUUCAAAGCACAACUUAUUUCUCGCUUUCUAAAUUUGCCAAAGCAGCCAAGGGAAUGACAAACGAACUGAGGCACCAACAUUCUGCUUUUGACAGUGAAAAAUCAGAUGAUACAUGUUCAGGAAAACAGAGUCGGUCCUAGAGAGUUUAGGAGACUAGCUAGAGAAGUCUUGAACCGGGGUUAUCUAUGACAAGUCUAUAUACUUAAUGUUACACCACUAGACUAAGACAAUAUUUUAGAAUAAUGUGGCAGAAAUUUAUAUAUAAGUAUGUUGGCCGGCAGGGCCGUCUCAAAUUAAUUUUAGGCCCUGUUCAAAAAUUUUUUUAAUCGUACAUUUUAUCACGUAAGUUUAAAAUUUAAUAAUUUUGUCUGAUUUUUCUAAUUAUAAGUUCUAAAUUUAGCAUUAUAUCUAAAAAAUUUUUUAAAAAAUUACCAUAAUUUAUCUAUAUAUUUUGAAAAAUCUUUAAAUUUUUUAUUUUUAUAUUUCGGAGCCCUGUUCGACCGCUCCACUUGCGCGUGCUGUUAGACGGCCCUGUUGGCCGGAAACUCAUGCUUCUUUGACUUGACUUAGCUCAAGGGCUGGAUCUGGUUAUUACCAACCGCUAUCCCCCGCCGCCUUUUCGCAUGGGAAAAAUAAUUGCAAUGGAAUUAGUUUAUGCAUUGGAUAAUGCCUGACAAUGUGACAUGAAUUGUGCAAGAAGGCAUAAAGGUGCGCGUGGAAUAUGUAAUAUCAUUGAUAUUAGUACUCGUUUUGUCAAAGUUAGUACUAAGUACCCUUGCUAGAGCUGGUUACCAUUGUGGAUUGGUUGUUUAUUUAUUUAUUAUUUAGAACUGAUGUUUGAACAUAAAGAACAUGUGCCUAAAGGUGAAAAAAUGUUGUAAUUGAUUUUACAGUGUAUUAUUUUAGGACUUAUUCUUGGAUUCACCCCAUAGGGUAAACCUAUAGGUUCACCAACCAAUAAGAUUAUGUUAUUUUAAAUUUGAUAUCUUUUAUAAAAAGAAACAAAAUAUUGUCAAAUUAUAUUAUGUUUUUAAAAUAAAAAGAUAAAAAAAUAAAAAUAGUAGUAAUUACAAAAAAAAAUAUUUUUAACGUCGUCAGGAAAAACUAAACCCUAAAUCCUAACCCCUAAACCCUAAAUCCGAAACUUUAAACCCUUGGGUAAACCGUAAAUCCUUGAAUAAAUCAAAAACUCUAAAUCAAAAACACUAAACACUAAAACACUCAAGGGUUUAGGAUUUUAUUGCUUUUAAUUUAGAAUUUAUUAUUUAUCCAAGGGUUUAGGGUUUACCCAAGGGUUUAGGGUUUCAGAUUUAGGGUUUAGAGAUUAUGAUUUAGGGUUUAGUGUUUUGCUGACGACGUUAAUAAUAUUUUUUUAAAAAAAUCUUUUUUUGACGACAGAGAAUAAUAUUUAUACGGAAAUACAUUUAUUACCAUACCGUUUUAGCAAUAAAUCAGUGUAUUUGUCAAGAUCAUCAUAGUAUUGACCCAACAAAAGACCAUCAUAAUAACUUUAUUUUAUAACGGACGGAAAAAAAAUGUCCUUACUUGAAAAAAAAAAUCUUUAGGUUGGAGUCUACAUAUUGCCUUUAAAUAGAUAACAAAUGUCCUGACAAUAUACAAACAAAUACCUCAGAGAAAGAUAAGCUUAGAAGAAAACUAGUAAACGUAAAAAUAUGGAGAGAAUAACUCCACUUGUAUUACUUGUUAGCCUACUUAUCAUUUCUGCCUCAGUUGUGAAUCAGACUAGAGCAGAUAUGUGCGUCGAUGGACUAUACACUUGCGACUACUGCGAGCAGAGAUGCAAGUCCAAACACGGGCCAUCAGGCCAAGGGGAAUGUGAAACCCAUACUGGGAUGCCUAUGUGCAUGUGCCACUACCAAUGUGAACCACCCUCGCUGACUCCACUCAAUACUUGCAAUGGUGGGGCCGGUUUAUGUAGUGUAAGGUGUCCCCAAAAAUGUUGCGAUAUUAACUGUGCACUUAAGUUUACAGGUGGAAGUGGGAUGUGUUUCACCCUCGGUAAUACUAGUGUUUGCCAGUGCAAGUAUCCUUGUUAAAGCUGGCUGACAAAAUUUUAAACCGACUAUUUUUUAUGUGGGACGAUGAUAAAAUAAUAACAAUUUCCAUUA